ACUGCAAAUUAAACCCUAACGCCCCUCAUCUCAUCCUAUUUAAGCGCCUCUUGCAUCUCGCCACUUGUAGACGAUGGCCACUGAUCGACUCGCCUUUGCCGCCAAUCGCCACCGAUCGUCUCCCCUCUGGCACCGUUCACCUCGCCUCUCACAUAUCCGUGGUUGUACUCUUGCUAGUCGCCACCUUUGGCCUUUCUGGCGUUGCUUUUCCACUCGUCACUGCUGUUUUUUCCAGAUUUGUGUGCAAUAGAUCUCUCUCCGACGAUUGAAGCUCUCUCUUCUCCAUCUUAUGCUCAGUCUGGCUGCGAGCAACUUCAAGUUCUCAGUUCUCACUCUCAGUCCGACGGUGAAGCUCCAGAUUUCAGAACUUUUAUGAAAUGACUUAUGGGAAAUUUGUGCUAAGUUACGCAUUUUUGUGAGAUCAUUUACAGAGAGAGGGAGUCCUUUGGUGGAGCGGCAGUUUGAAGAUUGUUUGGUGGAUUGUGAUUUCAAAUGGUAGUUUCUAGGCAAUUUUCCAGCGAUUUCUUCAUCCCAUUCUAUCUACACCCACACACUACCACUGUACCGCUUCGUUUGGAAAUUUCCUUGGAAUCCAUAGUUGCUGCUGCCGAUUUCUACACCCACCCGUCUCAAUCUCUACCCAGCACAGGCCUUAGUUAUUUAAUGCAAAGGACCAUGUUAUUCUUCCUAAUGGCCAGAAGUUUACAAUGUUUAAAAGAAAGCAUGUUGCUCGCAUUAUGUAAACAGUGAGCACUAACAAGAUGAGUGUCUACAUUAAGACAUGUAGCAGAGGUGAUCCAGUUAAUAUCUUAUAUUUUUUCUAUGUACUUUAUAUUUAAUAAGAAAUGAUAUUGAUUUGCACAGAUACUUCAUACUUCUAGUGGACAUCAAUGAGUUAGGGAAUCUGUCGGUGAUGACACCCAUGACAAUGAGUUGUUGGUUUCUUGGCUUCUCCCUCUGGCCAGUGAGCAAUUUAUAUAAUGUAAUAUAUUAAUCAAUUGGAUUAAUGUUUUUGUAUUUGCCUUGAUAUAUUCAAGCUUAUUGUUAUGGAUCUUUUCCUAAUGACACUGCUUUGUUGGAAUGCUAAAUUUCCCUAAUGACACUACCAUAUGUGCAUUUCAUGUGCUUCAUACAAAGUUUCAUUAGAAAAACUGUGAAAAAGAAUUGUGCAAGUACUCUUGUCAAUACUUUCCAUCACUUGAACCAUCAACACUCCACCCUCCCUCAAUUAAAAUAACCAUGUUUGUUAAACUUAUCACAAAGCAACACCAUGGCUAACUCAAUUAAAGACGAGUAGAGAAUCUUGAUUGCUUUAUAGAUUUUAUGUACAUAUAACUUGAAAAAUGUAUGUCUAUUAACUUUCUUAAUACAUAUGUAUGUAUUGUGGCGGACUGAAGGGGUGGCGAAGGGAGGUCAAGGCCCCUCCCAAGCUUCAAAAUUUGUUUAAAAACUUACACAUGACACUUAAAUUUGGGUGAAUUGGCCCCCCCAAAGAAGCAAACAGCAGUCAAUUGUCUCAGUUAAGAUUCUAAUAUCUUUUUGUAUAGUUGGUUAUACGCAUCCUUGAUUUGGAUAUGGCUUUUUGGAGAUGGAUGGUUAAACGUUGUUUUUGGAGGAAGAGACUUGUCAAUGUAUAUGUUUAGGCUUUUGUGAAAUACUUUUGAUGUUGAUAGAGGUUGUAUCUAUAGUAAGGAACUUUAUAUUUAGCUUGAAGAAUUAUGAAUAUUUAACUGUGGAGAUUUAAACAAUAUGGAUUUCAUUGAUUUUGUGUCUUUGUUCAACUUCACUUGGCCCUUGUGAAAUUAGAUGCUUUUGAAUUAUUUUAUUAUUUUGCUGAUAUGACUUUUUUAUUUGGUUAUGUAAGGUGCUUUAAUGGCAGUUCCUCACUUAUAGUUUUCAUGUUUUGAAAGACUUGUGUUGCUUAUGUUCUUUCCCACAUGUUCUUUCAUAUUGGCUGACUCUUUUCACAUGAUUUGGAUGCUUGUCACUUCAAGUCCACACUAAAAAAAUUAUAUCUAUGUUCCUUUCGUUAUGAAUACUUUGGUAUGGCCAGUCAGCAUGUUGAUGAGAAGCACUGAAUGUGGUAAAAAGGUCCAUUUUCUAACAAGAACAAAAAAAAUGUGUCUAGUUUCUAAUGACAGCAUUUAUCCUAUCUCAAAAAUCUUUGAUAUUUGGUACGCGACACGAUAACAAUAUCCUUACCUUCCUAAUGUUGACCUUCAUAAUGAGGCAUAUACUUUUGAUGAUUUAUAUGGGGAUAAGGCCAUUUCAUGUUCCUAUAAUAAGGAGAAAUUUGAUGGAAGUGAAGGUUCUGGCGAUGAUUUAAGGCCAACAAAUGGACAUGGAUGAUUAACCCCUUCACCAAAACUGACUAGGGACCUUUUUUUUUUUUUUUAAAUGUGAUGUAAUUUGGAUGGCUUCGUUAUGGAUGAUGUAAUGUGGAUGUAAAUUUGAUUUUGGUAAUCCAUGUAUGUGUAGAUUAUUGAUGUGUAAGGUUGUAAAUUUGAUUUUGGAUGCCAAUCUAUUUGGCACAAAAUGCAUCCAUAUUGCAAGAGUACGGAGCAAUUGAUUGCACGAUUGAUU